UACGAAGGUGGCAAGCGUUGUUCGGAUUUACUGGGCGUAAAGGGAGCGUAGGUGGUUAGGUAAGCCCUCCGGGAAAUCUUCAGGCUCAACCUGAAAAGGUCGGGGGGGACUGCCUAGCUAGAGGGCGGGAGAGGAGCGCGGAAUUCCCGGUGUAGCGGUGAAAUGCGUAGAGAUCGGGAGGAAGGCCGGUGGCGAAGGCGGCGCUCUGGAACGUUUCUGACGCUGAGGCUCGAAAGCGUGGGGAGCAAACAGG
rnacentral:rRNA from 1 species